UACAGAGGUCUCAAGCGUUGUUCGGAUUCAUUGGGCGUAAAGGGUGCGUAGGCGGCGCUGUAAGUCGGGUGUGAAAUCUCGGAGCUUAACUCCGAAACUGCAUUCGAUACUGCCGUGCUUGAGGACUGGAGAGGAGACUGGAAUUCACGGUGUAGCGGUGAAAUGCGUAGAUAUCGUAAGGAAGACCAGUGGCGAAGGCGGGUCUCUGGACAGUUCCUGACGCUGAGGCACGAAGGUCAGGGGAGCAAACGGG
rnacentral:rRNA from 1 species